rnacentral:rRNA from 1 species
GAUGAACGCUGGCGGCGUGCCUAAUACAUGCAAGUCGAGCGAGUGGAUUGAGAGCUUGCUCUUAUGAAGUUAGCGGCGGACGGGUGAGUAACACGUGGGUAACCUGCCCAUAAGACUGGGAUAACUCCGGGAAACCGGGGCUAAUACCGGAUAACAUUUUGAACCGCAUGGUUCGAAAUUGAAAGGCGGCUUCGGCUGUCACAUAUGGAUGGACCCGCGUCGCAUUAGCUCGUUGGGGAGGUAACGGCGCACCAAGGCAACGAUGCGUAGCCGACCUGAGAGGGUGAUCGGCCACACUGGGACUGAGACACGGCCCAGACUCCUACGGGAGGCAGCAGUAGGGAAUCUUCCGCAAUGGACGAAAGUCUGACGGAGCAACGCCGCGUGAGUGAUGAAGGCUUUCGGGUCGUAAAACUCUGUUGUUAGGGAAGAACAAGUGCUAGUUGAAUAAGCUGGCACCUUGACGGUACCUAACCAGAAAGCCACGGCUAACUACGUGCCAGCCGCCGCAGUAA